UGAUUCUUCCAGUUAAAAUGAACAUUAGUUUGUAGUUCUCUUAUUUAUUUUAUUUAUUUGUUUUUUAAUUAUGACGUGGAUUCAUGAGCAGAUGGCUAAGAAAGUUUUCUCCAGACGUUUCAGUGCAAAAAGGUGUUGGUAUUAUACGUAGCACCAGCACAGCACCCGGUGGGCAGGCAGAAAGAGCUGCACUGGGCUUGUGAGGAGUGACUUGAUGAUAUAUUUUUAAAUUUGUGGAGGGAGGGGGGAUAGAGAUAAAGUAAGUUUCCAAGGAAUUUUGAAGCAAGGCUUUCAGGACCCUGAGGGGCUAGCUGCUGUCAUGGGGGAACAUCCCUAACGUUGAACAUAAGCAUAACUGAACCUAGCGAUCUGAGAUGAAUAAUGUAGCCACACUGGAAGAAAAAAAAAUAACCAACUGAAAUGACUUUUGGGUGCAGUACAUCGACUAUAAACAUCUUCAAGUCCAAAGACAAGAACUGCAAACACAUACUGAACUGUCCCAUAGUAGGGACCCGAUCACCCAGGAACACACAACACUUCAAUCAUUUUGCCCCUAUCUGAAGAGGAUAUUUACCUUUACCUCCACUCGAUCUCCGGAAAGAAUCUUCUUGUACAGAAGAGGAAAAGACAAAUCCGGGCAGGCUGAAAGAGGCAGCCGAACCCCACAGGAUGAAAACGUGAUAUUUCCGUUCAUUUGAUUUUCGGAGACCAUUCGACGCCCCCCCUCCCCAGCCCACACAUCUACUCUAGAGAAUGGACGCCUUGUCCUGACUGACGCCCUCUGUUCAAAUUUUCCUUUCGUUGUCGCAAGAUUAGGUUACUACGUAAUCCGAAAGGUCAUACUGAGGAUUAAGACAAUUUCAUGUUAAAUUGGUGACAAAACUCUUA